AGUAAAAGUCGUAACAAGGUCUCCGUAGGUGAACCUGCGGAGGGAUCAUUACACAAAUAUGAAGGCGGGCUGGAACCUCUCGGGGUUACAGCCUUGCUGAAUUAUUCACCCUUGUCUUUUGCGUACUUCUUGUUUCCUUGGUGGGUUCGCCCACCACUAGGACAAACAUAAACCUUUUGUAAUUGCAAUCAGCGUCAGUAACAAAUUAAUAAUUACAACUUUCAACAACGGAUCUCUUGGUUCUGGCAUCGAUGAAGAACGCAGCGAAAUGCGAUAAGUAGUGUGAAUUGCAGAAUUCAGUGAAUCAUCGAAUCUUUGAACGCACAUUGCGCCCUUUGGUAUUCCAAAGGGCAUGCCUGUUCGAGCGUCAUUUGUACCCUCAAGCUUUGCUUGGUGUUGGGCGUCUUGUCUCUAGCUUUGCUGGAGACUCGCCUUAAAGUAAUUGGCAGCCGGCCUACUGGUUUCGGAGCGCAGCACAAGUCGCACUCUCUAUCAGCAAAGGUCUAGCAUCCAUUAAGCCUUUUUUUCAACUUUUGACCUCGGAUCAGGUAGGGAUACCCGCUGAACUUAAGCA
rnacentral:rRNA from 1 species